UGCAAGUCGAACGGUCUCUUCGGAGGCAGUGGCAGACGGGUGAGUAAUGCAUGGGAAUCUACCGUUCUCUACGGAAUAACUCAGGGAAACUUGUGCUAAUACCGUAUACGCCCUUUUGGGGAAAGAUUUAUCGGAGAAUGAUGAGCCCAUGUUGGAUUAGCUAGUUGGUAGGGUAAAGGCCUACCAAGGCGACGAUCCAUAGCUGGUCUGAGAGGAUGAUCAGCCACACUGGGACUGAGACACGGCCCAGACUCCUACGGGAGGCAGCAGUGGGGAAUAUUGGACAAUGGGCGCAAGCCUGAUCCAGCCAUGCCGCGUGAGUGAUGAAGGCCCUAGGGUUGUAAAGCUCUUUCACCGGUGAAGAUAAUGACGGUAACCGGAGAAGAAGCCCCGGCUAACUUCGUGCCAGCAGCCGCGGUAAUACGAAGGGGGCUAGCGUUGUUCGGAUUUACUGGGCGUAAAGCGCACGUAGGCGGACUUUUAAGUCAGGGGUGAAAUCCCGGGGCUCAACCCCGGAACUGCCUUUGAUACUGGAAGUCUUGAGUAUGGAAGAGGUAAGUGGAAUUGCGAGUGUAGAGGUGAAAUUCGUAGAUAUUCGCAGGAACACCAGUGGCGAAGGCGGCUUACUGG
rnacentral:rRNA from 1 species